rnacentral:rRNA from 1 species
GUUUAGUUUUUGUGGGCAUUCGGUGGAUGCCUUGGUACCAAGAGCUGAUGAAGGACGUGGCGGCCUGCGAUAAUCCUUGGGGAGUUGGCGAGCGAGCGUUGAUCUGAGGGUGUCCGAAUGGGGGAACCUGGCUGGGGUUGUGCCUGGUCACUAUCAUCUGAAUUCAUAGGGUGGUAGGGGGAACGCGGGGAAGUGAAACAUCUUAGUACCCGUAGGAGAAGAUAUUUCGUCAGUAGUGGUGAGCGAAAGCGGAUGAUGGCUAAACCGUGUGCGUGUGUGACUCGGCGGGGGUUGCGUGUGCGGGGUUGUGGGGCUCUUUUUUCUCAUCUUCUGCCGGGGGUGGGGGUGUGUGCGUGUGCGUGUGGUGAACAUCUUGGGAUGGGUGACCGUAGUGCGUGAUAGUCGUGUAGCUGUGUGUGUGCGUGUGUGCCAAGGGGGUGCCCGAGUAGUGCGGGGCUCGUGGAAUCUCGUGUGAAUCUGCCAGGACCACCUGGUAAGCCUGAAUACUUUUUGGUGACCGAUAGUGCAUAGUACCGUGAGGGAAUGGUGAAAAGUACCCCGGGAGGGGAGUGAAAUAGUGCCUGAAACCGGGUGCCUGUAAGCCGUCAGAGCCUGCUUUUGUUGGGUGAUGGCGUGCCUUUUGAAGAAUGAGCCUGCGAGUCAGUGAUGCGUGGCGUGCUUAACCCGUGUGGGGGAUGCGUAGCGAAAGCGAGUCUUAAUUUUGGGCGUGUGUCGCGUGUUGUGGACCCGAAGCGGGGUGAUCUACCUAUGGUCAGGGUGAAGCUAUGGUAAGACGUGGUGGAGGCCCGUACCCACCAGGGUUGAAAACCUGGGGGAUGAACUGUGGGUAGGGGUGAAAGGCCAAUCAAACUCCGUGAUAGCUGGUUCUCCCCGAAAUGCAUUUAGGUGCAGCGUCACACUGGGCUUGGUGGAGGUAGAGCUACUGGUUGGUUGAUGGGCCGUGUUGGUUACUGACGUCAGCUAAACUCCGAAUGCCAUUUCAAGUGGGUGUGGCAGUGAGACUGCGGGGGAUAAGCUUCGUGGUCGAGAGGGAAACAGCCCAGAUCAUCGGCUAAGGCCCCUAAGCGUGCGCUGAGUGGGAAAGGAUGUGGAGUCGCGUUGACAGCCAGGAGGUUGGCUUAGAAGCAGCCAUCCUUGAAAGAGUGCGUAAUAGCUCACUGGUCGAGUGGUUGUGCGCCGAUAAUGUAGCGGGGCUUAAGCGUGCCGCCGAAGCCGUGGCAAUAACUUUUUGUUUUUGGGUAGGGGAGCGUCCUGCUCUGGGUGAAGCUGCCUGGUGAUGGGUGGUGGACGGGGUGGGAGUGAGAAUGCAGGCAUGAGUAGCGUUUCGUGGGUGAGAAUCCUACGCGCUGAUUGACUAAGGGUUCCAGGGGCAGGUUUGUCCGCCCUGGGUUAGUCGGGUCCUAAGGCGAGGCCGACAGGCGUAGUCGAUGGGUGACCAGUUGAUAUUCUGGUACCGUUUGUUUUCCGUCUAACGCUGCAUGCUUUCGCGUCGUGUGCUUGCCGUGCGUGGUGUUGUCUUUCGGGAUGAUGCUGAGUGUGGCUGUGUGUGGUGUGGGGUGUGUGGUGAGCAUUGGGGUGACGCAGGGAGGUAGUUGCUGCACACUGGUGGUUAUGUGUGUCUAAGGUUGUGGCCUGUUUCUUGGGUGAAAUCCGGGAAGCUGCGUUUGAUCGCGUGGGUGAGGGCUGAUGGGGCUGCCUGUUGGGGUGGCUAGUGGUGAUCCUGUACUGCCGAGAAAAGCCUGGAUGUGAGGAAGAUGAGCGCCCGUACCCUAAACCGACUCUGGUGGUCAGGUAGAGUAUACCGAGGCGUGCGAGUGAAUCAUGGUUAAGGAAUUCGGCAAAUUGCCCCCGUAACUUUGGGAUAAGGGGGGCCCUGCUGGUGUGCCUGCUUUUGCGUGGGUGGUGCUGGUUGGGGUCGCAGAGAAUUGGGAGAAGCGACUGUUUAUUAAAAACAUAGGUGUGUGCUAAGCCGUAAGGCGCUGUAUACGCACUGACGCCUGCCCGGUGCUGGAAGGUUAAGAGGACGACUUAACUGCUUUUUUGUGGUGAAGGUUUGAAUUUAAGCCCCAGUAAACGGCGGUGGUAACUAUAACCAUCCUAAGGUAGCGAAAUUCCUUGUCGGGUAAGUUCCGACCUGCACGAAUGGCGUAACGACUUCUCCGCUGUCUCGACCGUGAUCUCGGUGAAAUUGCAGUACGAGUAAAGAUGCUCGUUUCGCGCAGCAGGACGGAAAGACCCCGGGACCUUUACUAUAGCUUGGUAUUGGUGUGUGUUUGUGCUUGUGUAGGAUAGGUGGGAGACUGUGAUGCCGUGCCGCUAGGUGUGGUGGAGUCGUUGGUGAAAUACCAUUCUGGUUCAAGUAUGCAUCUAACUUGGAGCCCUGAUCGGGUUUGGGGACAGUGCCUGGUGGGUAGUUUAACUGGGGCGGUUGCCUCCUAAAGGGUAACGGAGGCGCUCAAAGGUUCUCUCAGCCUGGUUGGUGAUCAGGUGGUGAGUGUAAGUGCACAAGAGGGCUUGACUGUGACACUGACGGGUGGAGCAGGUACGAAAGUAGGAACUAGUGAUCCGGCCAUGGCUUGUGGAAGCGUGGUCGCUCAACGGAUAAAAGGUACCCCGGGGAUAACAGGCUGAUCUUGCCCAAGAGUCCAUAUCGACGGCAUGGUUUGGCACCUCGAUGUCGGCUCGUCGCAUCCUGGGGCUGGAGUUGGUCCCAAGGGUUGGGCUGUUCGCCCAUUAAAGCGGUACGCGAGCUGGGUUUAGAACGUCGUGAGACAGUUCGGUCCCUAUCCGCUGCGCGCGUUGGAAACUUGAUGAAGGCCCGUCCCUAGUACGAGAGGACCGGGAUGGACGAACCUCUGGUGUGCCAGUUGUACUGCCAGGUGCAUUGCUGGUUGGCUACGUUCGGUUGGGAUAACCGCUGAAAGCAUCUAAGCGGGAAGCUUUCUUCGAGAUGAGGUUUCCGUGCCCCCCUUUUUGGGGGGUGGGAGGUCCCCAGUAGAUGACUGGGUUGAUAGGCCAGAGGUGGAAGCAUUGUGAGGUGUUGUGAGCCGACUGGUACUAAUGGGCCGAUUCUAAACCAACA